GACGAACGCUGGCGGCGUGCCUAAUACAUGCAAGUAGAACGCUGAAGGAGGAGCUUGCUUCUCUGGAUGGGUUGCGAACGGGUGAGUAACGCGUAGGUAACCUGCCUGGUAGCGGGGGAUAACUAUUGGAAACGAUAGCUAAUACCGCAUAAUAGCAGUUAUUGCAUGAUGACUGUUUGAAAGGUGCAAUUGCACCACUACCAGAUGGACCUGCGUUGUAUUAGCUAGUUGGUGGGGUAACGGCUCACCAAGGCGACGAUACAUAGCCGACCUGAGAGGGUGAUCGGCCACACUGGGACUGAGACACGGCCCAGACUCCUACGGGAGGCAGCAGUAGGGAAUCUUCGGCAAUGGACGGAAGUCUGACCGAGCAACGCCGCGUGAGUGAAGAAGGUUUUCGGAUCGUAAAGCUCUGUUGUAAGAGAAGAACGAGUGUGAGAGUGGAAAGUUCACACUGUGACGGUAUCUUACCAGAAAGGGACGGCUAACUACGUG
rnacentral:rRNA from 1 species